rnacentral:lncRNA from 1 species
ACAUUUCUGAAAAAGAAAGUGAAUCGAGACAAUUUGCAGAAGUGAAGGUCAUCCAGCUGGCUUUAGAUGUUGCUGAAAGAGAGAGUGACUAGUACUGUACCUAUGCACUGGCUCUUGGAUGGUGACAUAUGCUCCUUGAGGGUGGUUACUACAAUGUAAGCAGAACAACCGGUAACUCAGAGGCAAGCUCAUCUGGGUUGUUGCAUUGUGGAAAGAUAUUACUGCACAGAUAAGGAACAUGGAUGUAAAAGUACAUCACAUAUAUGUCCACAAACCCGACAGUCAUUUCACGGAGAAACAUCGAAACAACAAGCAGAUGGCCAUUAGGAUCGAAGUGGCUCAGGUUCAGAUUGUUAUUAUUUUGUGGAUGGACAGCUGACCCAGGGAGGUCAGAUCUAUCUCCCCCUGGGUCAGUGUGAGCAAAACAGCUGCUAUGGAUCACUGUCUCACACAGAACAACGAUGGGAGUAGGCAAGAGGAAUGCGGAGCAGCGAUAGAGACCACUGUGACAGGUGCCGUGAGACAAGCUGCAAGUAACUGCAAGUUAUGAGAACUGUG